rnacentral:ncRNA from 1 species
AAGGAAAACCCCCACUAUUUUUCCUCGAACUUGGCGGAACGCAGAAAAAUAAUGGGGGCCUCACAGAAUACGGGAUAAGUAUAUAUGAAACCGUACCAGAGAUUCAACCCUGUGCAGUGUAUAAAUACACGGCACAAUCGCUCCGCCAU